rnacentral:rRNA from 1 species
GAUGAACGCUGGCGGCGUGCCUAACACAUGCAAGUCGAACGGAGUCCAGCCUUUAAGACCUUCGGGUCAAAGAGGGGAAGACUGAGUGGCGGACGGGUGAGUAACACGUGGGCAACCUGGCUCAUAGAGGGGGAUAACAGAGAGAAAUUUCUGCUAAUACCGCAUAAGCACACACUGCCGCAUGGCAGAGGGUGAAAAGAGAAUCGCUAUGAGAUGGACCCGCGUCUGAUUAGCCAGUUGGCAGGGUAAGAGCCUACCAAAGCGACGAUAAGUAGCCGAACUGAGAGGAAGGACGGCCACAGUGGGGCUGGGACACAGCCCGAACUCCUACGGGAGGCAGCAGUGGGGGAUAUUGCACAAUGGGGGGAACCCUGAUGCCGCGACGCCGCGUGAGUGAAGAAGUAUUUCGGGAUGUAAAGCUCUAUCAGCAGGGAAGAUAAUGACGGUACCUGAAGAAGAAGCCCCGGCUAACUACGUG